AUGGAGGAGCCUGGGGCUACCCCUCAGCCGUAUUUGGGGCUGGUCCUGGAGGAGCUAGGCAGGGUUGUGGCAGCACUGCCCCAAAGUAUGAGACCAGACUCUAAUCCUUAUGGUUUUCCAUGGGAGUUGUUGAUAUGUGCAGCUGUUGUUGGAUUUUUUGCUGUUCUCUUUUUGUGGAGAAGUUUUAGAUCGGUUAGGAGUCGGCUUUAUGUGGGAAGAGAGAAAAAGCUUGCUGUAACGCUUUCUGGACUAAGUGAAGAAAAAUGUAAACUACUUGAAAAAUGUAGCCUUGUUCGAAAAGAGUAUGAAGGCUAUGAAGUAGAGUCAUCUUUAAAGGAUGUCAGUUUUGAGAAGGAGGCAGCAGAAGCACAAAGUUUGGAGGCAACCCGUGAAAAGCUAAACAGGUCCAAUUCUGAACUUGAGGGUGAAAUACUCGUCUAGAAAGAGGUAAGAGAAAUCUAAACAUUCUGAACAAGGUGAAUUGAUGGUGGAUAUUUCCAAAAGGAUACAGUCGCUAAAAGAUGAGUCAACAUCCCUCAAAUCACAAGUAGCUGAAGCCAAAAUGAACUUCACCAUAUUUCAAAUGAAUGAAGAAUGACUGAAGAUAGUAGUAAAAGAUGCUUUGAAUGAAAAUUCUCAACUUCAGGAAAACUAGAAACAGCUUUUGCAAGAAGCUGAGGCAUGGAAAGAGCAAGUGAGUGAACUUAAUAAACAGAAAAUAACAUUUGAAGACUCCAAAGUACACACAGAACAAGUUCUAAAUGAUAAAGAAAAUCACAUCAAGACUCUGAACGCUUGCUAAAGGUGAAAGAUCAGGCUGCUAUGCUUGGAGAAGACACCGCAGAAGUUGAUAACUUGGAAUUAGAAAUGAACAGUGAAUCAGAAAAUGGUGCUUACUUAGUUAAUCCUCCAAAAGGAGCUUUGAAGAAACUGACUCAUGCUGCUAAGUUAAAUACUUCUUUAAAAACCUUAGAAGGAGAAAGAAACCAAAUUUAUAGUCAGUUAUCUGAAGUUGAUAAAACAAAGGAAGAGCUUACAGAGCAUAUUAAAAAUCUUCAGACUGAACAAGCAUCUUUGCAGUCAGAAAACACACAUUUUGAAAGUGAGAAUCAGAAGCUUCGACAAAAACCUAAAGUAAUGAUUGAAUUAUACCAAGAAAAUGAAAUGAAACUCCACAAGAAAUUAGCAGUAGAGGAAAAUUACCGGUUAGAGAAGGAAGAGAAACUUUCUAAAGUGCACGAAAAGAUCAGCCAUGCCACUGAAGAGCUGGAUCUAUAUAAGCGAAGAGCUGUUCUGAAAAGCUGGAUCUAUAGAAAGCAAGCCAAAGAUCUUGAAGAAGAAUUGGAGAGAACUAUUCAUUCUUAUCAAGGAUGGAUUAUUUCCCACAAUAAAAAAACACGUAAUAAUUGGUUGGCAGCUUGGACUGCUGAAAGAAACCUCAAUGAUUUAAGGAAAGAAAAUGCUCACUACAGACAAAAAUUAAGUGAAACAGAGUUUAAAUUUGAACUUUCAGAAAAAGAUUCUUAUGCCCUUGAUGCUCCAAUUACAGCAUUUGGUGGAGAGCAUUCCCCGAAUGGUCCCUCAACAUAGGGUCGGCCUUCAUUCAAAACAAGAGUUUUUCUCUAUUCUCCAACCUUGUUGGAGGGUCCACUCAGACUCUCAUCUUUGCUUCCAGGGGAAGGAGGAAGAGGCUCAAGAGGUCCAGGGAAUCCUCUGGACCAUCAGAUUAUCAGUGAAAGAAGAGAAUCAAGAUGUGAUAGGUUAACCAAUCAUCAUAGGGCUUCUUUUGACACUGGGUCUCUGUCACCUCCAUGGGAACAGGACCGUGGGAUGAUGUCUCCUCCACCAGGACAAUCAUAUCCUGAUUCAGCUAUUCCUCCUCAAAGGCAAGACAGAUUUUAUUCUAAUUCUGGCACACUGUCUGAACCAGCAGAACUCACAAGUUUCAAUAUGACUUCUUUGGAUGAAAUGAAUGGGUCAAUGCUUUCAGAAAUGGAAUCCAGUAGAAAUGAUACAAAAGAUGACCUUGGUAAUUUAAAUGUGUCUGAUUCAUCUCUCCCUGCUGAAAAUGAAGCAACUGGCCCUUGCUUUUUUCCUCCACCUGUUGCUCCAAUCAGAGGUCCAUUGUUUCCAGGGAAUACAAGGGGCCCAUUCAUGAGAAGAGGACCUCGUCUCCCCCGACCUCGUCCAGGAACCAUGUUUGGAACUUCUUGAGAUUAUUUUCCACCAAGGGAUUUCCCAGGUCCAUCACAUGCUCCAUUUGCAAGGAGAAAUGUCUACACCGAGGGGUUUUCCUCCUUACCUUUCCCCAAGACCUGGAUUUUCCCCCUAACCCCCACAUUCUGAAGGUAGAACUGAGUUCCCUUCAGGGCUGAUUCUGCCUUCACAUGAGCCUGCUACAGAACAUCCAGAACCACAGCAAGAAACCUGACAAUAUUUUUGCUCUCUUCAAAAGUAAUUUUGACUGAUCUCUUUUUCAGUUUAAGUAAUUGCUGUUACUUAAGUGAUUACACUUUUGCUCACAUUGAAGCUUAAUGGAAUUAUAAUUCUCAGGAUAGUGUUUUCUAAAUAAAGAUGAUUUAAAUAUGAAUCUUAUGAGUAAAUUAUUUCCAUUUUAUUUUAUUCUAGAUAGUAUAGCUACUUUAAUUUUAUUAACUAAUCCACUAUUAUAUAACAAUAA